UACGAAGGGUCCAAGCGUUAUCCGGAUUUAUUGGGUUUAAAGGGUGCGUAGGCGGCUUAUUAAGUCAGUGGUGAAAGCCUGUAGCUUAACUACAGAACUGCCAUUGAUACUGAUGAGCUUGAAUAUACUUGAGGUUGGCGGAAUGUGUCAUGUAGCGGUGAAAUGCUUAGAUAUGACACAGAACACCGAUUGCGAAGGCAGCUAGCUAAAGUACAAUUGACGCUGAUGCACGAAAGCGUGGGUAGCGAACAGG
rnacentral:rRNA from 1 species